rnacentral:rRNA from 1 species
CGAGCGCAACCCUUGUGUUUAGUUGCAAACAGGUCGAAGCUGUGCACUCUAGACAGACUGCCGUGGACAACACGGGAGGAAGGUGGGGAUGACGUCAAAUCAUCAUGCCCCUUAUGAUCUGGGCUACACACGUGCUACAAUGGCCGGUACAACGGGCAGCGAAGGAGCGAUCCGGAGCGAAUCCUAAAAAGCCGGUCCCAGUUCGGAUUGCAGGCUGAAACUCGCCUACAUGAAGUUGGAGUUGCUAGUAAUCGCGAAUCAGAAUGUCGCGGUGAAUGCGUUCCCGGGUCUU